UUUAUAGUCCUGUGGGUUCAACACUGCAGGACUCACAUGUGUCAGUCAACACAGCACAAAGCACAAGCAGCAUGACUCUCAUCAGCAUCUUCAUCUGGACGCUGGCCUGCUGCUGCUUCACAGGAUCCAGCAGUCAGAUGACUGUGACUCAGCCUCCAGUGGUGACAUUUACUCCAGGAUCCACUGUCACCCUGUCCUGCAGAACCAACACGGCAGUUCUCACAUUUGAUGAUGGAGAUGAGGCACUUUACUGGUAUCAACAGAAAUCUGGAGAGGCUCCAAAGCUCUUAAUAAAAUGGGUGAAAACACUUGUGUCAGGAACACCAGCUCGGUUUAGUGGCAGUGGAAGAAGGACUGACUUCACUUUGACCAUCAGUAGAGUUCAGGCUGAAGAUGCAGCAGUUUAUUACUGUAAGAGUGUCCACACAACUGAAGGAUACACACAGUGAUAGAGAGCCGUACAAAAACCUCCCUCAGUCAGACUGCAUAGACACUGACUUGUUAGAGUGGGAACUGACUGCAGCUACUGUAGGGGAAGAGACUCUGACACAGAC